rnacentral:rRNA from 1 species
UACGUAGGGUGCGAGCGUUAAUCGGAAUUACUGGGCGUAAAGCGUGCGCAGGCGGUUUUGUAAGCCAGAUGUGAAAUCCCCGGGCUUAACCUGGGAAUGGCAUUUGGGACUGCAAGGCUUGAGUGCGGCAGAGGAGACUAGAAUUCCUGGUGUAGCAGUGAAAUGCGUAGAUAUCAGGAGGAACACCAAUUGCGAAGGCAGCUCGCUGGGACGUUACUGACGCUGAGACGCGAAAGCGUGGGGAGCAAACAGG